rnacentral:lncRNA from 1 species
GCUGUCUAUAGAGUCCAGAAAGAAAGCUACAAGCGUUACAGAUGCCGCUAGCCGCACACUCACUGCUGCCUUACAGCAAGAGCCAGGGCACAGGGGCCAGGCUGUGCACCCUCUACUUACCCAGUCUUCUAUGAAAACGCAGCCACUGGCACUUAGGAACACAUGACUUGGAUCUGGAUCGUCCUCUUUUUCAAACAUGUGUGGACUGAGGUAUGUGGUUGUGUUCACUGACCUAGGUUCUAGGAGGAGCACUGGCAACUGACAAUGGAAUGAAGUCCUAAGUUUUCACAUGCCACUCAGAUGGAGGACCAUGUUUUAGGACAUACCUCUCAGUUUCCCACUCUGAUCCAAAUGGACUGCCUGCCUUGAUGAGCAAGACAGUAAACAGAAAACUAAAGGGUAAGACACAAUACCCAUGGCAGUUUGCCACUGCGGAAGUAGAUGGGGCAUGGGGACAGCCCCUUGACAGAAAGACCAAUCGACAGGUGUAGUAACAGAAGGAUUUUGCACAGUGGGUUCAAAAGCACUGUAAAGGAACUCCCUUACGGACAUUUUAUACCUGGGUUGAAGUUCUAAAUUCAAGAUCCUCUUGUCUUGGCCUCUCUCAAGUGCUGGGAUCACUGUGUGCUACAGCUUCCCACCCUACCUUAAAGGGAAACAACUCCUCAGGUGCCAUCCAAGCAGCCUCCUCAUCUACCUACAGUGCUGGCAUCCAAUCCAGCCUGUGCACUGGGCAAACAUCCUACUCUGUCCUUGCUCUCCAGCCCUUUUUGUUGAUGCUGUUGGUGGUGAUGACUCAGUUUUGUUUUGACACAGUUUGGUUUUAGUUCUCCUGAACUAUGUAGACAGGCUGGCGUCAAACUCAGAGAUCACCUGUCUCUGCUUCCCAAGUACUGAGGUGUAAGGUGUGUGCACCAGCAUGACACCCAGCCCAAGUCCUUAGUUUUUGAAGCGGGUCUUACUAUGUAGCCCAGGCUGGCUUGAGACUAUUAUAGUCCAAACUGGCCUCACAUUCAUCAUUCAUGGUCCUCUU